rnacentral:lncRNA from 1 species
GUGGCUAGCACAAGGAUUGAGAAGAUGAGGAGAUUGUUAAAUUGGAAGGAGACAUUAAUCCAUGUGAGUAGGAGCAUUGAGAGUGACAUGUGUGUGGAUUUUAUUGAUGCAAGUUUCUUAAAUAUGAAACCUAGACAAGAGGAACAACAUGAUAUAUUAAGGUAAUUGUCUUGGUCAUUAAGAGUAAGGGAAAUGGCACUACGUUAUUGGGCAAGAAUAUUUGUGGCCCAUAA